AGCUGAUCUGAGAGGAUGAUCAGCCACAUUGGGACUGAGACACGGCCCAAACUCCUACGGGAGGCAGCAGUAGGGAAUAUUGCACAAUGGAGGAAACUCUGAUGCAGCGAUGCCGCGUGAGUGAAGAAGGCCCUUGGGUUGUAAAGCUCUUUCGUCGGGGAAGAAAAUGACUGUACCCGAAUAAGAAGGUCCGGCUAACUUCGUGCCAGCAGCCGCGGUAAUACGAAGGGACCUAGCGUAGUUCGGAAUUACUGGGCUUAAAGAGUUCGUAGGUGGUUAAAAAAGUUGGUUGUGAAAUCCCAGAGCUUAACUCUGGAACUGCAAUCAAAACUUUUUAGCUAGAGUAUGAUAGAGGAAAGCAGAAUUUCUAGUGUAGAGGUGAAAUUCGUAGAUAUUAGAAAGAAUACCAAUUGCGAAGGCAGCUUUCUGGAUCAUUACUGACGCUGAGGAACGAAAGCAUGGGUAGCGAAGAGGAUUAGAUACCCUCGUAGUCCAUGCCGUAAACGAUGUGUGUUAGACGUUGGAAAUUUAUUUUCAGUGUCGCAGCGAAAGCAUUAAACACACCGCCUGGGGAGUACGACCGCAAGGUUAAAACUCAAAUGAAUUGACGGGGACCCGCACAAGUAGUGGAGCAUGUGGUUUAAUUCGAAGAUACGCGCAGAACCUUACCAACACUUGACAUGUUCGUCGCGACUCUAAGAGAUUAGAGUUUUCGGUUCGGCCGGACGAAACACAGGUGCUGCAUGGCUGUCGUCAGCUCGUGUCGUGAGAUGUUGGGUUAAGUCCCGCAACGAGCGCAACCCUCACUUUUAGUUGCCACCAUUUAGUUGGGCACUCUGAAAGAACUGCCAGUGAUAAGCUGGAGGAAGGUGGGGAUGACGUCAAGUCCUCAUGGCCCUUACGUGUUGGGCUACACACGUGCUACAAUGGCAUUUACAAUAGGAAGCAA
rnacentral:rRNA from 1 species